CGCAACUUGUGAAUACCAGUC
rnacentral:misc_RNA from 1 species